rnacentral:rRNA from 1 species
CCUACGGGAGGCAGCAGUGAGGAAUAUUGGUCAAUGGACGAGAGUCUGAACCAGCCAAGUAGCGUGAAGGAUGACUGCCCUAUGGGUUGUAAACUUCUUUUAUAUGGGAAUAAAAUGUUCCACGUGUGGGAUUUUGUAUGUACCAUAUGAAUAAGGAUCGGCUAACUCCGUGCCAGCAGCCGCGGUAAUACGGAGGAUCCGAGCGUUAUCCGGAUUUAUUGGGUUUAAAGGGAGCGUAGGUGGAUUGUUAAGUCAGUUGGGAAAGUUUGCGGCUCAACCGUAAAAUUGCAAUUGAUACUGGCAGCCUUGAGUACAGUUGAGGUAGGCGGAAUUCGUGGUGUAGCGGUGAAAUGCUUAGAUAUCACGAAGAACUCCGAUUGCGAAGGCAGCUUACUAAACUGCCACUGACAUUGAUGCUCGAAAGUGUGGGUAUCAAACAGGAUUAGAUACCCCUGUAGUC